UCUUACUGUCUUAAAAACUCAGAUUCUUUCAUUGAAAUGGCAUUAAGUAAACUUAAGACAAUGCUACAUGGAUUAGAGACUACCUAUAGUGCACCCAACUUGCAGGAUGUCAUUUAGUAUGCGUGUAUUCUUAACCCAACUUGCAGCCUAAUGGCUUUUUAAAGUCAAAACUUCCAUAGUCCUUUUGCAGUAUGAUUUUUGAGGCAUAUGGAGACAGAAUCUGAGCCAAUAUAUUUUAUUCCAAAUGAGGCUCUUUGAUUUCUCACAUGCUUUUGAAAUGUGAUGUUUGUCUACCCUGGAAAACUCUGCCGUUUCAACUCUCUGGAAAGCUAGGAAAGGUUUUGAAUAAUUGUAUCAUGGGUAGUUUUUGGAUUCCACUACUUGUGGGCUACUUCUGCUGGAUAAAUGUGUUGCCUACAUACAGUAUUCUCUUAACCCUGCUUCUCAAAAUCCUAUAUUUUCUGUUGUCAAGUCAAGAAUUACAAAGCCACACUUUGGCAUGGAGAAUACUACUCUACAGUUACUCAUCCUUAAUGACCUGUAGUACAGAAAAGUGAAAACAUUGUGGAGGAGAUAAAUUACCAAAAUAGAAGAUAAGCUGAAAAGGCAAUGGAAAAUAUAUCAUACAUAUCAAAGUUGCUCAUUUAUGCUAUUUUGCCAUAACAAUGCAUACAACUGAAGCACUUCCCUUCUCCAUUGGAGUUUUGUCUCUAGAGGUAUUAAAUAUUAAUCUUAUAAAGAAAAGAAAGCAAAAAAAAAAAACCCUGAACACAUGUUAAUAGGUUAGGGUUUUAAGAGCAAAUCACAAAAGCAGAAUAAGUACUUGGAGGAAAAAAACAGGAAGAGAGAGAAAGAGGGAGAGAGAGAGAGAGGUGGGGUAAAUUGUGGACCCUCCUUUUAAAGAAACAAAAUUUUCCACAGAGUUGCAUUAAUACUUAAAUUGGACUAACUCCAUGUGAAUCCUCGUAAGAAAUACUAUUUCCUUUCAAUUAACUCAUCUAUCCUACAAUUACAUGUCAUGAAAUCUAAAGGCAAAUAUGUUUACCCAGUAAGGGAAUAACAUUCGAGGCAAAAGUGAUGUCACAAACAGAUGGGAAUUCCAAGUAAUACUGAGUCAUGGUUCUAGGGGAAUAAAACAAUUACUUUACAGCUCAGUGCAAUGUAGUAUUUAAAGAAAAGGUAUUUCAAUAGAAUAGCCCAGACAAUUAUUCAACAUUUAACAGAGAUUAUAUUAGUCUAGAUAUGUUAAUUUGGAUUUUAUUCUGUUUUUUAUUUAUGUUAAUAGGUUUGGUUACUGGUUUAAAGAAAUAUUAGAAGUUUAUCUUUUAUUUUUACAAAUAGAUUAACAUUUGUCUUAGAGGGAGUUCUGCCCUUCAUGGAUAAUACCUUUACCUGCUAAAUCUAGAUUUCUUUUUCUAUAGUAAGUUUUAAACCAGUAAUUGAUGUAAAAAGAUGCAACAAAUAAAAUUAUAGCUACUAAUGGGCAUGUAUUUAUUAUACAGUAGGCAAUUUGCAGAAAGUUUUAUGUAUAUUAUUUUUAUUAAUCUUUAUGACAUUGGAAUUCCAUCAGGUAGGCAUUUUGAUUCCCAAGUAAACUAAAGAGAAGAAAACUGAGGCUUAAAGAGGGUAAGUGAUUUGCCAAGGGUCACAGAACAAGUAAGAGGUACAGCUGGAUUCAAAUUUAAGUAUAUCUUGUCCUCAAGUCUUUCCUCUUUAUUUCCUACUAAAACUAAAAAGGGUAAUGGCACAGCAGCUAAUCAUAUUUGAUGUAUUAAAACAUAAAUACUGGUGUCAAAUAUAAGUACUAAAUCAGGCAUCAGUUCCUUCCUACUAAAAACAUUAAAAAACAAUUCAGCAAAAAUUCGUACUCUGCAGGAUCAUAGAGUGCUUUGAUACCCUCAUCUACAGCAGUGUUUCUCAACCUUUUUAUUCAUUGUUGCUCUCCUAAGGGACCUUCUUAGACAUUUUUUUCAUACUUGUCUCCCAAGAAAUUUUAAUACUAUAGAUAUACCAUAUAUCUAUGUACCAUAUGUAUAUCUGUGCUCAUACAUAAAAAGAAUAAGUUUUUGCUCCUUAGAAUAAUUUUUUUGCCCUUUGGGAGCAAUGAAUAUGUAUGAUUUAGAUAUUAUACCUCUAUGUUUCUCCAAAACCUUUCAAGUCACUCUUAUUGCUUACAAUUGUAUGGGCUUAGAGCUUUAGAUUUUUAGCUUAAAGUUUUUCAGUGUGUUAAAAUGCAAAUAUAUAGAAAACGUUGAUGAACCACAACAAGCCAUUUGUAUCCUGGUGUAAAAUAGAAGCUCAGAAAGCCAGUUUGAUAAGGGAAAGGAGAAGAAUGGGAGGUCACUCUGUAUUGGGGCAGGGAAGGGGAAGAGCGGAGAGCCUCUGGUGUUGAAAUGCCUGCGUCACAACUGUACUUCAGUCCAGUCCCGUUGAACAUAUUAACACAAGUAUUUGAAGAAAAGAUGCUAGCUCCUAUUCAUGAUGAACAAGAAAACUUAGUCAUAAGCCACCUUAGUGGCCAUCACCCUAUUAUUGUGUAAAUAUUAGGUUUCCUGCUUGUAAAGAAUUUGCUGUUUGGUUCCUUUCAGGCCUGUUUGCGUGUUCCCAACUGCUAUGUGGCCAAGAAUAACAAUCUUUAAUAUUGGUAUCCUUAUUUACAAAGAAAAUGAGUGCAGAAAGGACAAGUAGUUUUCGUGAAACCACUUGGAAGUGGAGGAGAAGGGUUUUGAACUCCCAUCAUCUCAAGCUCAUGCUUUGCCAUCUCACCACAGUGAAAUGAUGGAAAACUCAAGUCUGCAAACCUUAAAUUUUCAAUCAAAGGGAGGAAACCUUGGGCAAAUGAAGAGGUCAUGGAUAUGAUAUGAAAAUAUUUUAUGAUUUUGCAUGUGAGAAGCUACUGCAUAGAUGAAUUCAACUGCAGGAUCCCUUUUAAAAAAUAUGUAUCUUCAAGAUUGAGUGUGAGCCUUCACAAACUCCUCCUUGUAUCUUAAGUCUGCUGGAGUACUGGCCUGACUCCACUCACUCACUGUGUACUUCGUUUGAAACUAACAAACAAUACAGUGACUGUCAGUAGAUGUUGCCUCCUCAGUCUACAGAGCCAACAAAAAUUAUGGAAAAUGUCAUCAGAUUUCCAUGACAACAUCACGCUGUAUAAUCAACAUGGUUCGAACUAGUCACAUCUUUGCACAACUGGACACAUCAAAAUAAUUGUAUUAUGUCAUCAGUGAUGCCACCAGACAGAGCACCAGCUCCCUUCCUACACUGGAUAGCAGACGUUCAAAUAACGCAAUGUACUGAAGAACUAAUACAGUUUAGACACCAGAGGUCUCACAAGUUAAACCCUCUAUAUAAUACAGAGCCCUCCUGAGAAUCAACUUAAGGUGAAAUGUUUUAAAGAAGAGAUAAUGGUGGUGGUGUGGUGGUACAUGUUGAGCAACCAGCUCUCUGGAGCAACUGAAAAAUACUUCUAAUCUGGCAAAUUCAGCGAGAAGACUGAGUUCCUUAAUUUCUGUCAGCACCAGUGAAAAACUGUCCUAAACUGACCCUGGCUUACAGAUGUACCACUGGAUCUUGGACUAAAUGGUAAUGGUAAUCAUUCUGAGCUUCCAUUAAAAUUCUAAGCCUUCUUCCAUUUUAUUUCUUAUUAACAGCUAUUAUUGUUGUUGUUGUUGUUGUUGUUGUUGUUGUUGUUGUUAUUAUAGCAAAGAAGAACAGCAGAAUGGUUGGUGGAGAUUCCUAUGCUUUCGACCCAUGGCGGGGUCACUAAGUCAGGUGAAUCACCUCCCACCCCUAAAGAUUCCCACCCAGUUAUGCCUUCUAAUGUGCUGUUCACAGUUUAUCAACUGAUUCUGAAAUUCUGAGACUUAACAGUUUUAAACUGA
rnacentral:lncRNA from 1 species